rnacentral:misc_RNA from 1 species
GAUGAAGAACGUAGUGAAAUGCGAUACGUAAUGUGAAUAGCAGAAUUCAGUGAAUCAUCGAGUCUUUGAACGCACAUUGCGCCCCCUGGUAUUCCGGGGGGCAUGCCUGUCCGAGCGUCAUUGCUGCCCUCAAGCACGGCUUGUGUGUUGGGCCUCCGUCCUCCUCCCGGGGGACGGGCCCGAAAGGCAGCGGCGGCACCGCGUCCGGUCCUCGAGCGUAUGGGGCUUCGUCACCCGCUCUUGUAGGCCCGGCCGGCGCUUGCCGACACAUCAAUCUUUUUUCCAGGUUGACCUCGGAUCAGGUAGGGAUACCCGCUGAACUUAAGCAUACAAUAAGCGGAGGA